rnacentral:rRNA from 1 species
GUUGCCAUCAUUCAGUUGGGCACUCUAAGGGGACUGCCGGUGAUAAGCCGAGAGGAAGUGGGGAUGACGUCAAGUCCUCGAUGGCCCUUACGGGCUGGGCUACACACGUGCUACAAUGGUGGUGACAGUGGGCAGCGAGACCGCGAGGUCGAGCUAAUCUCCAAAAGCCAUCUCAGUUCGGAUUGCACUCUGCAACUCGAGUGCAUGAAGUUGGAAUCGCUAGUAAUCGCGGAUCAGCAUGCCGCGGUGAAUACGUUCCCGGGCCUU